UAGCCUACGGGACGCAGCAGUGAGGAAUAUUGGUCAAUGGGCGGGAGCCUGAACCAGCCAAGUCGCGUGAAGGAAGAAGGUACUUAGUAUUGUAAACUUCUUUUGUCGGGGAACAAAGGCGGAGACGCGUCUCCGGAUGAGUGUACCCGAAGAAAAAGCAUCGGCUAACUCCGUGCCAGCAGCCGCGGUAAUACGGAGGAUGCGAGCGUUAUCCGGAUUUAUUGGGUUUAAAGGGAGCGUAGGCCGGUCUUUAAGCGUGCCGUGAAAUUUUGUGGCUCAACCAUGAGAGUGAG
rnacentral:rRNA from 1 species